rnacentral:rRNA from 1 species
UACAGAGGUCCCAAGCGUUGUUCGGAUUCACUGGGCGUAAAGGGUGCGUAGGUGGUGAGGUAAGUCGGAUGUGAAAGCUCGGAGCUCAACUCCGAAAUGGCAUUGGAAACUACCUUGCUCGAGGGUUGGAGGGGGGACUGGAAUACUUGGUGUAGCAGUGAAAUGCGUAGAUAUCAAAUGGAACACCAGUGGCGAAGGCGAGUCCCUGGACAACUCCUGACACUGAGGCACGAAAGCUAGGGGAGCAAACAGG